CGGGGGAAGCUUUUUCUUUAUUUUUCUUUAUUUCCCCCCAAAAAACUAGGUUGCACCUUAUGGGCUGGUGCGUCCUAUGGGGCGCAAAAUACAGUACUCAUUUGUGGCUAUGAUUUGGCAAACGAGAGAACAGCGCUUCCAAAGCACUGGGAUAAAGUGCUGCUGUUUCUUUAUUCAGAUCCCAACCCAAUUCUUUUCUCAAGCCCAGAUAUAGCAACUGAUUGGACAAUGAUGUUCUCUGAAGACCAGAGCAUGUAGUUACCAUAGAGAUGCCAUCUGAGGCUUUCCUCCAGAUGGUGCUACAUGCUGGCUGUAGCAUAGAUAAUAAUAGGCAGUGACAGUGUAGACUUCCACUGCAGGUAGUUGUAUAUGUUAUGGCCAGAACAGGUGGCCUAUUCUAAAGAGAAGCCUUUAUUUACUUUAUUUAUUAAAUUUCUAUAAAAACACAAAAAGACACAACAUAGUAACAAACCCAGACAAUUCCCCCAUGGGGUUAUUAGCCCACCCAUGGCAACUAUAACAAAUGCUCUCAUGUUUGUGGAGAUUCAGAGUCAGAGUUAGUAGGUGCCUGUUGAUUCCCACCCAGAAUCCUGUUACAUGUUUUGACAGUCCUCAGUGACCAGGUCUUAGGGUGUGGCCCCUUUGGAAAAUGGGAAGCUUUUUUUUGGGGGGGGGUGCACCAAAAUAAAAACAACUGGAAUAGUUUUUAAACACCAGUGUUGGAAAAAUAACUACAAUUUCUAGUAAGGUGUGCAAAAUGUUUUAUGCACCCAUCUUGUGGGGAGUUGAAAAGAAUUCACUGCAGCAUCACCUUUUAAGGUACUUAAAAGAUGCCUUAAUAUCAGCCUCCUUAGUUUUGAGCCCUGAGAAAGAUGAUAAAAGUGUGUUUAAAUUUCUUUUUGAAACUGGAAUAUUUAAAUUGUAGAGCAUACUUGGGUCAAAUAAAAUAUAUGAAUUCAAAUUAAGUUCUUGAGAUGUGAAGGGAAUUGUGUUUUGGGUUGCGAGUGGAGAGGACAGAAUUCUGCAUCUUUGCCCCUUCACCUAUUUCUGUUAGCAUGGAAACUUCUGUAGCAACAGUCCUC
rnacentral:lncRNA from 1 species